UACGUAGGGGGCUAGCGUUGUCCGGAAUCAUUGGGCGUAAAGCGCGUGUAGGCGGCCCGGUAAGUCCGCUGUGAAAGUCCAGGGCUCAACCCUGGGAUGCCGGUGGAUACUGUCGGGCUCGAGUCCGGAAGAGGCGAGUGGAAUUCCUGGUGUAGCGGUGAAAUGCGCAGAUAUCGGGAGGAGCACCUAUGGCGAAGGCAGCUCGCUGGGACGUUACUGACGCUGAGACGCGAAAGCGUGGGGAGCAAACAGG
rnacentral:rRNA from 1 species